GGGUUCUCCUCUUUGUCUCUCCUCCUUUAUAUAUCUGCCUUUCUAAUAGGAAUUUUUAAAAAAUCAGAUUUCUAGAUACGAGGACCCAUUAGAGCCAGUGCAUGUGCUGCGGUGCGUGAGAUGACUAGACAGAAGGUUGAGGGAGGAGACGGACUGUGGCCUGGGAAGAGGAGAGAAGCGUAUUGGGUCUAUCCCAACUCAGAGUCCUGUGGUCUCAUGAGGUCCAGCUGCAAGUCUUCCCCUCAAGUCCUUUCCAUGAUGUCUGCCCCAUCCUUCACCCCUUGUUUGAAGCAGCCUGAGUCAGGUUCUUGAUAAUCAAGAGAGCUUUGGCUGGAAGGGAUUAGACAAAUUCCCUAAUAAGUGCUGUGUUUGAAGUUCCCAUAAAGCAGUGAUGAUUUAUUUGGUAAAUAUUUGAGCUAGUCUAGGCACUGAGGAUGUAGUAAGGAACUAGCAAGGAUUCAGUUGGAGCAGACAAGAUAGAAAAUAAAUAUACCAGCAACUAAGGCAUUUUCAGGAAGUAGUGCUAUGAAGAAGGAAGAAAACUAAGCAGGUUUGUGUGACAGGUUGCCUGUGGAGUUACAUGAGGUGGCCAGUGUUUAUGUGUGGACAAGGUGAAGUGUCUUGUAUGCACCUGCUGUGUGAAGAUGGUGGAACAUUGCCGAGCAGUCUGUUAACAGUGUACAUGAGUUUGAAGGAAAGAGUGGGUUGUUCAGGACACAACAAUGUGGGUAGUACGGCCAUCCUCCGCUGCUAUCCCAGACCAUAAGCAGGGAGCUGGACUGGAAGUGGAGCAGCUAGGACUUGAACCAGCGCUCAUAUGGAAUGUUAGCAUUGUAGAUGAAGGAUUAGUGUGUUAUGCCACCAUGUUGGCCCCUCUUGCUGAAUGGAACAUUGAGACCAUUACAAAGAGAGAGGGACAAGGGAGUGGUACCUAUUGACUUCACUUGCAUAUUUAAAAGCUCAGAAUUUCAUAUGCCUUAUUUAAUAUUCAUAGGCUACCACAAAGGCUUCAUUGCUGUAGCCCCUUCAUUUAUUUAAAGUUUAUUUAAAGUCAAAGUUACAUAAAGAGAAAAUCUUCCAUCCCAGAUGGUUGAAACGGCCAACAUAGGGCCAGGUUGAACCCAGGAGUUUCAUUUGAGUUUUAGUGUGGGUGACAGAGGCCCAGACACUUAGGACUGCACUGUUUUUGCAGGCCAUUAGCAGGGAGCUGGAUUAGAAAUGGAGCAGCUGGGACAUGAAGCAGUAUGCAUAUGAGGUUGCUGGUACUGCAGGCAGAGACUUUAUGCCAUGACACCAGUCCUUACAGUUACUGUUAAUGAUGAAGAAUGAGAAGUAAAUGACAAAAAGGAUGCCCAGUUGUGAUGCCUUUUAAAACCCAGAAAACAUGAAAAACACGACACAAGUAAUGAAAACACUGUAAAUGCGCCUGAGUCCUGGAACCCUGGAGGCUGUCGUGCAAUUUGCGGAGGAUCAGCACAGCCUCCCAUAUGGUUUCCAAGU